CGGAGCCUGAGUCGGAGGUGGCGGGCGGCAUCCGGUUCCAGCAGCAGUAGCUGCUUGGCCACCAUAUUGGGGUUCCUUAUUAUUGCUGGAGCCUCGGGGGGCCGGGAAAGGAGGAGCAGAGCCAGGAGGGCAAGUUUGGGGCCAACACUUCUUGAGGGCUUAGUUACUAGCUCAAGAGAAGUGGGGAGUAAAGAGGACCCUUAAGUAAGAUCAUGGAGGAGAAUGGUGAAGAUGUGGCUUCCCUGGCUGCCUAUAUUUCCCCAGAUGGCAGUUAUACAGAGACCGUGCCAAUGCCGAAUCACGGCACAAUGACGGCUUCUUCGCAGGGCUCUUCCUCUGCCACAAAAUCCAGGCGCCAACCCGUUGGGACUGAUGAGGAAACCCGGGCCUUCAUCCAGGUGUUGGG